rnacentral:lncRNA from 1 species
UUAGUUCAAACGUCUGUUCUUAGGCAUGGGACUUGACUUGCUAGCUUACGGCGCAUUUAUUGCUUGUACAGGGCCUCCAUGCUAGUGACAAGACUUGACCUUUAUGCUUAUGACAAACAUUCCAUCAAUCAUUCGAAUAAGAUCUGUGCAGGCGAUCUCUUGGAAGAAGUGACCAUGGAGGAUGUUUCCUUGUGGUUAAGAGGCUCGUGCAUCAACUUCGGGGCUUCGUCCAUUUGAGGACCUCGGCUACAUCCAAAAGCUUCCACGCCUCGGGUCAUGGGCCUCGGUUAGAAGCACUUCGGAUAUAACCCACCUCGGCAAUGUGGGCCACGUCGGCAGGAAUGCCACGUGGAUCAGGAUGAGUGGACCAUUGGCCCAGGUGGGUAGGACAGGUGUGACAACACGCAAUAAUAGUCCCCCAAGUCCAAGUAUAAUCAUUAGUGUAAUGCGUGGACUUUAAUGGAGUAAAAGUUGAAAGAAUUUUUUGAACUCCCAAAUAAUAGUCCCCCAAGUCCAAGCAUAGAUAUUUAUAUCAUGGUUGGAGUUAGAGAAGUUUUGCUGUGGGUGAAUGAUGAAGAAGCCGAGGUGGUUGAGGAACCGAACCUGCGAGGCUUGAACGCUGAAUGGCAUGUGAAGAAGCCGAGGUGGUUGAGGAAACCGAACCUGCAAGGCUUGAACGCUGAAUGGCAUGUGAAGAAGUCGAGGUGGUUGAGGAACCGAACCUGCGAGGGCAUCUGAAGAAGCCGAGGUGGUUGAGGAACAGAACCUGCGAGGCUUGAACGCUGAAUGGCAUCUGAAGAAGCCGAGGUGGUUGAGAAAACCGAACCUGCGAGGUUUGAACGCUGAAUGGCAUGUGAAGAAGCCGAGGUGGUUGAGGAACCGAACCUGCGAGGCUUGAACGCUGAAUGGCAUGUGAAGAAGCCGAGGUGGUUGAGGAAACCGAACCUGCGCAGCUUGAAUGCUGAAUGGCAUGUGAAGAAGCCGAGGUGGUUGAGGAACCGAACCUGCGAGGCUUGAACGCUGAAUGGCAUGUGAAGAAGCCGAGGUGGUUGAGGAAACCGAACCUGCGAGGCUUGAACGCUGAAUGGCAUCUGAAGAAGCCGAGGAGAAGUCGAGGUCCAAUGGUAAUGAUUAUGCCUUGGUCUCUGUGCCAAUGAUUUGAUGUUUUGUGCUUGUUUUCGAGGAAUGGUAGCUGAACCGUUAUGACUUCCAAGGCGCUGGCGCCGACAAAUUAAAAAUGCAAUUAUGAGGGCAGCUAGCGUUUCUAGAAGCAGACGCGUUGGAGAGGUGCGUGUGAGGUACGCAUAGAUCAGAGGCGUAGGAUUUAAAAAACUGUUUGAAUUCAACGCCUCGGAUUGGAUCUGAAAUGGAGGGUUCGGAUUGACUGAGAUUUGAUCUGACGGGUGGGGUUCGUCUUGGAUCCUUAUAAAAGGGGAGAAAAUCCCGAUUUCCAGGAUUUUUUGAACACUUUGCAUUCUCAAAUUCUCUCAAAUCUCCCAUUUUUCGGCGUCGAGGUUGUCUGCGAUUAGAUUCCGACCAGUCUCCGUUUGUGUUGAACUCUUUUAGGUAUUGUUUGCAUAAAAAAAAAACGUUGUUAUUGUCUUUCUUCUGAAAAAAUGGAGUCCACUUCAGGUAGGGAGCUUGUUACAGUGACGUCUUUAGACCAUGGGGUAGGUCAUGGGGGGACGUCCGAGGUGGAUAGGUAUGCCAUGGCCAAGGAGGCUGUGGAUUAUACCCAGGAGUGGGGGGCUUCUAGAGUGCCCUCAAACAUGACGGGGAAGAGGUUGGGGGAACUUAGGGAAAGGUACAGUGUGCCUCAUAACAUAGAGAUGUUAGUCCCCGAACCGAACGAGAGGGCCUCCGGCUGCGUGGCCGUGAGUGAAUACCUGUUCAAAGCAGGUAUGCGUCUUCCUUUGCACCCCUUCUUUAGGGUGGUGCUUAGAAAAUUCAUGCUGUCGCCGACCCAGGUUCUGCCGAAUGGGUGGAACCAGCUGGUCGGCUCGUACUUCCUGUGGAAGGAAGUGUCACUUGGGGAGGACAUGCCUCUUCAUAUCUUCAUGACCCUGUUCCAGCCCCGGGUGAUUGGGAAGGAGUCAAGGGGGUGGUACUACCUCACGCCUUGAGGGGCUCACGCACCCUUUGUGGUGGGACUUCCUUCCUCUAUCAAGGGGUGGAAGGAGUCCUGGUUCUGGGUGCGAGGUAAAUGGCAGGCAGUGGAGGGUGACAAAGCCCUGUCAUGCACAGUGUUGACCAAGUACUACGAAGCUCGUGAGUCUCCCGACCUCUGCUUGUGUUUUGAAAUCAGAAUAUAUAUUCAUCUAACUGUUGGAGGUUCGUCUUUGCAGAUAGUAGUACGAGGUUCGAGCUCAGCAGGGAGGAAUUCGAGGUGAUAGAGGACAUUUACAAGAGGCCUCUGAAGCUUCGGCACUUCGAUCACCUGAUUGAUAGAAGCAGAUACUUCUUGGACUUCGAGCUGAUGGCAUCCAGAGGUAUGGGGCCCCAACACUUGAUGUUUUUAUCCUUAAUGUUUCUUAUGCUGAUGCUAAUCUGACAUGUUGUGCAGACAAAUUCAAGAAGAGGGAGUACCCAGCUCCGGACAUGGCCUCCAUCUUGAAGGCCACUUCUACUGCGAAGGCGAGGCCCCUGAAGCCUGGGUCCAGUGGAGCAAAGGAGGUCCGAGGCAGGGUUGAGCGCCUGUCCAAGGACUGCACUCCCAGGGCCUCGGAGGAGGCAUCUACUCAGAGGCCAGAGAAGCCUAAGGAGCCUCGGGGCAAGGAGAAAGUCUCUGAGGAGACUAAGAAGAGGAAGCUGGUGCACAUCUCCAGCUCAGCUGGCAAGUUUGGGACUUCAGUGUCCCAUAGGGCAGAACAGACUGGAGAGCCGAAACUUCUUGCUGCAGCCUCUAAGGCCAUCAAAAUGGAGAUGGUAAGAGAGGUGGAGGCUGAAGAGGCCAGAGAAGAGGCUGCAAGGCGAGCUGCAGAAGCCGUCGAAGAGGAGGCGGUGAAGGAGAAGCCGGUUCGGAAGAAGGGGAAGUCUCCAAACUUCCUAGCUGGGAGGGAGGAUGAGCUGGCCCCAGCCUUGGUGGAGGCUCUCCCUGAGGAAAUCAGAAGUGCCACCGAGAGCUUUUACAAGUUCUGGACGGAGAGGUGGCAGCUUCAUGCCUCGUCUUGUGAUGCCACCGACCUCACGAGGGCACUGGUGAGCCAAAGCGCUCGGACCUUUGGCCUCGCGCUCGAAUGCAGGGAGGCAUUAAGUGAAUUCCAGACAAGGACUCACGCCUCGGAGGGGAAGGCUGCCUCCCUUGCAGAGGAGGUCAAAGCUGCUAAGGCCGAGGCCGAAGAAGCCAAAGCACAGAGGGUUGAAGAAGCGGCGAAGCUCGAGUCUGCUUUGACCCAAAUUGAGGCCCUAAAGAGGGAAGUAAAUGAGUCACAGUGCGAGGUGGCCUCCUUGACAAAGAAGGUGGAGGUCUCCAAUGAGCACCAAAAGGUGACUGCUGAGGCUCUUGAGCAGGCGAAUCUCUCCUUGGUCGGCGCUCGAGAUGCCUAUCAGUUUCUCGAAGGCCAGGCGAAGUGGUACAUGAACGACGCCUCGGUUGCCAGAGAAGAGGCCCGAAUUGCACCGGAAGAGGCGGUGAAGGCAUACAUCGCCAAUUUCCACACUACAGAGGAGUAUAAAAGCUUCAGCGCGUACUGGAGGAACUUCGCCUAUGCCGAAGUGCUGGAGAGGGCAGAGGAGCUUUAUCCCAACUUGGACCUGGCACAACUUAGGUCCGAAUUUGUGGAUGAGGUUCCUCAGACCCCAGCUGAGGAGGUGCAGGGUGAAGAGGCAGUUGAUGCCGAAGCGCCAAAUGCUGAGGCAGAGGAAGCAACUACUAAUGCCCAAGUUGCCGAACCCCCAAGUGCUGAGGCGCCUCCUCCAUCUAGCCAGGCUUAGAUUAGGUUUUCCUUUUCAGUACCUUGUGUAAUGGCCAGAGGCCCUCCUUUGUAAUCCCUUUUGAAUAUUAAUAUAAUGUUUUUCUUCAUUCAUUGUUGUUCUUUAUCCAAGUUUUUGUGCCUCGUUAAACAAGCGGACUAGAAGUUGAUUAGAGCACGAACUAAAUAACUUUAACUUGGUACCCUGACAUUAACCAGUCAAUUGUAUAAGCCUCGGACUUAAGCAAAUGAACAUAACUUAAGGAGAUGAACUAUUGGAGCCUCGGACUUAAGCAAAUGAACAUAACUUAAGGAGAUGAAUUGUUGGAGCCUCGGACUUAAGCAAAUGAACAUAACUUAAGGAGAUGAACUGUUGGAGCCUCGGACUUAAGCAAAUUAACAUGACUUAAGGAAAUGAACAAUGUGAACCUCGGAUUUAAGGUUGUGGCUUCUCCCUUCGGCGUUCAGCAAGGCCAAAGGGAGGCAUGUGCUAGCGCCUCGGAGUUCAAGCGAGCUGGCCCAGUGGUGGGUCCCGAGCCUCUCCUCCGAGGUGAUGACGCAUCCCAGACAUGGUGGAUGAUGCAGCCAUGUUGAGGCUUCUCCUCUUGGCGUUUAGCAAGGCCAAAGGGAGGCAUGUGCUAGCGCCUCGGAGUUCAAGCGAGGUGGCCUAGUCGUGGGUCCCGAGCCUCUCCUCCGAGGUGACAACGCAUCCCAGACAUGGUGGAUGGUGCAGCCAUGUUGAGGCUUCUCCCCUUGGCGUUUAGCAAGGCCAAAGGGAGGUAUGUGCUAGCGCCUCGGAGUUCAAGCGAGGUGGCCCAGUGGUGGGUCCCGAGCCUUUCUUCCGAGGUGACGACGCAUCCCAGACAUGGUGGAUGGUGCAGCCAUGUUGAGGCUUCUCCCCUUGGCGUUCAGCAAGGCCAAAGGGAGGCAUGUGCUAGCGCCUCGGAGUUCAAGCGAGGUGGCCCAGAGGUGGGUCCCGAGCCUCUCCUCCGAGGUGAUGACGUAGUAUGACGAUUUAAUCAACGCAUUUUAUUGAGCCAUAGAAAUAUUACAAAGGCUGGGAAAGUCAUCCAGCAUGAUACAAUUCAUUGAUAAAAGAUUCUGAGGUGUUCAAUGUUCCAUGGACGGGGUUGUGCCUUGCCGUCCAUGUCUUCAAUCCAGUAGGUUCCAGGUCGGAUUUCUUCUCUGAUCUUGUAUGGACCUUACCAGUUCGGCCCCAGGGAGCCGGAACCGGGUUCUUUUGAAGAUGGGAAGACCCUCCUGAGCACAAGAUCGUUGAUUCGGAAAGACUUCUUCUUGACUUUAGAGUUGAAGUACCUUGUCAUCUUCCUUUGGUAGGUACCUAGCCUCAGCUGGGAGUCGUCCCUCCUCUCCUCAAUGAAAUCGAGGUCUAGUCUCAGGAGCUCGUCGUUGGUCACUUCGCUGAAGUGCAGACGCCGUGGAGAUGGGAGUCCGACCUCCACGGGGCUCAUCGCCUCAGUCCCAAAAGCCAUGAGGAAAGGGGUCUCCCCGGUUGGGGUCCUGGUGGUGGUUCGAAUUGCCCAAAGUACUUGGGGCAGCUCAUCAACCCAAGCUCCUUUGGACACAUCAAGCCUCCUUUUCAGGACGUGCUUGAUUGUCUUGUUUACGGCUUCGACUUGGCCAUUAGCUUGUGGGUGGUGAUGUGUAGAGAAGUGCUUCUUUAUGCCAAGAUCUUCACACAGUUCUCUAACCUUCUUGUUAUCGAAUUGCCUGCCAUUGUCUGAGACGAUCGAGUAGGAAAUUCCGAACCGGCAAAUGAUAUUCUUCCAUAGGAACUUGGAGGUGUUUGCUUCUGUGAUUUUUGCCAGUGGUUCAGCUUCGACCCACUUCGUGAAGUAAUCAAUGGCCACUAUUGCGAAACUUGCGCCUCCUCUACCCUUUGGUAGAGGACCUAUGAGGUCCACACCCCACUUUGAGAAAGGCCAGGGGCUGGAGACUGCAGUCAAAUCCUGUGAUGGUCGUCUUUGAACGGGAGAGAAUCGUUGGCACUUAUCACAUUUUCGCACAAAUUCGAGGGCAUCACGUUUCAGGGUAGGCCAGUAGUAUCCUUGCCUCACUAUUUUUUGUGCCAGAGAUAGGCCUCCAGAGUGGUUGCCGCACACUCCCUCGUGGACUUCUCUUAGUAUGUAGGUAGCCUCUUCUCCUUCGACGCAUCGUAAGAGUGGAGAGGAGAAACUUCUCUUGUAGAGAAUGUCAUUGAUGAAGAGGAAAUGGGCUGACCUCCUUCUCACCUUGUAAGCCUCAUUCUUGUUGGUGGGUAGCACCUGGUCUUUCAGAUAUGCUAUAAUUGGUUGCAUCCAGGUGGGAGUUCCACCGACCCACAUGACAUUAGGGGCCUCGGUAGAAGGCAGUAGGAGGUGCUCGAUAUGCACUACAGUGAGUAGCUCUGAGUCUUUGCUACUAGCCAGCUUCGAGAGUGCAUCCACAUGAGCAUUUUCGAUGCGGAAAAUCUGGGUUAAUUCAAACUUUUCAAAGGAUGGGAUGAGGCUCAUCACCAUUUUCAGAUAGGAGGCCAUUGUUCUGUCUUUGGCUGAGAAAUUACCAUUGACUUGGCUAACAACCAGCUGGGAGUCGCUAUUGACGAGUAGCUUCUUUACUUGCAUUUCCUUGGCCAGUCUGAGGCCUGCAAGGAGUGCUUCAUACUCUGCAACAUUGUUGGUAGCUUUGAAUCCGAACCUCACGGUCGAGGUGAGUUUGUGACCCUCGGGGCUGUUGAGGACAACCCCGGCACCUGACCCGACUUCCCCAGCCAAGCCAUCAACGAAGAGGCUCCACGUGGGGGGUUCGACGGGCUCCAUGAUUUCAUCCACCUCGGGUAGGUUGGCGAAUUCAGCAACAAAGUCUGCUAAAGCUUGCCCUUUGAUCGCUGCCCUUGCUUUGAACACAAGGUCAAAUUCACUUAGUUCCACUGCCCAUUUCAACAAUCUUCUCGAGGCAUCGGGCUUCUGGAGUACUUGCCUCAGGGGAAAAUUUGUAAGUACAUGGAUGGUAUGAGCUUGGAAGUAAGGUCUCAAUUUCCUAGAGGCCGUGAUUAAGGCCAAAGCAAGUUUCUCCAUAUCGGGGUAUCGGGUUUCCGGCGAUAGGAGUGCUUUACUCGUAUAGUAGACAGGAAGUUGGGUGGACCCUUCUUCUCGAAUCAAAACCGAACUGAUGGCGUCAUUGGAGACGGCAAGAUAUAGUUGCAAGAUGUCGCCGGGCUUCGGCUUGGAGAGGAGGGGGGCCUGCCCCAAGUGCCUUUUCAAUCCUUUGAAGGCCUCUUCAUAUUCCUCAGUCCAUUGGAAUUUCUUCCUAGCCUUGAGCACUUUGAAGAAUGGGAGGCACUUGUCAGUUGCUUUGGAGACGAAGCGACUAAGUGCUGCCACUCGUCCAGUUAAGCUUUGCACCUCCUUUGGCUUUUGAGGGGACCUCAUCUGGCACAGAGCCUCAAUCUUCUCGGGAUUUGCUUCAAUUCCUCGCUGGUUGACCAUGUACCCCAAGAACUUGCCAGAAGCCACCCCAAAGGCACAUUUCAAGGGGUUAAGCCUCAUCUUGUACCUUCUCAGGAUUUGGAAGGUGUUGUUGAGGUGCGCUAUGUGGUUCUCUACUUCUAGGCUCUUUACCAGCAUGUCGUCCAUGUAGACCUCCAUUGUCUUGCCAAUGAGGUCGGUAAACAUUUUGUUCACGAGUCUUUGGUAAGUCGCUCCGACGUUCUUCAACACGAAGGGCAUCAUUCUAUAGCAAUAGAGGCCUCGAUCCGUGAUGAAAGAGGUCUGCUCCUCAUCGGCCGGGUGCAUGGGGAUCUGGUUGUAGCCGGAGUAUGCAUCCAUGAAGCUCAACAACUCGUGCCCAGCCGUGGAGUCCACCAAUUGGUCAAUCCUUGGAAGCGGAAAGCUAUCAUUCGGGCAAGCUCUAUUAAGGUUGGUAAAGUCGAUGCAUACUCUCCAUUUGCCAUUGUGUUUCUUAACCAAGACCGGGUUGGAGACCCACCUCGGAUAGGUGGCCUCCUUGACGAAGCCAUUUUGGAUGAGCUUCUGAACCUCUUCCUUUAGGGCCUCAUACCUCUCUAGAUUGAGAGCUCUCCUUUUUUGUCUAUGCGGGGCAAAAUUAGGAUCAAUUUUCAAGUGAUGGCAGCUGACCUUGGGGUCUAUGCCCACCAUGUCCUCAUGCCUCCAGGCAAAGAUGUCCAGGUUCUUGUCUAGGAAGUCCUUAAUCUUUUCUCUCAAAAUGUUGGAUAAGCCCCUGCCUACUUUCAACACCUUGGAUGGAUCUCGAGGGUCGGCUGAGAAGCUCUCAAGUUCCUCUACAGGGGAUGCUUGAGGCUCAUGUUCCGUUAUGCGGGGGUCGAUCUCAUCAACGAUCAGCACCUCCUGAAUAAGCGGUGCAUCAAUCAUAUCAACAUCUUCCUGGUCAGUGGGAGCGUCACCUGGGACAUCCGCCAUGACCACAUCAGCUAUGAUCACGUGGACGUUCCGGGGCUCUACCUUCUUAAUGGAGCUCAGAUAGCACUCUCGCGAACCUCUCUGGUCGCCUCUCACCGUUGCCACCCCAUUUUCUGUUGGGAAUUUCAUGCAUAGGUGGUGGAUGGAGGUGACCGCUUCCAAUUCCUUUAGGGCUGGUCUGCCCAAGACUCCGUGGUAAGCCGACCGGCUGUCGACUACAAGGAAUUCCAUAAAGUUCAUUGUAGUUUGAGGAGAUUCUCCCAUUUCUACUGCCAGUGUUAUCUUUCCUCUCGGAGUAAUGCUAUCUCCGGUAAAUCCGUACAAUGGAGUGGUGGUGGGCGUCAACUGAUGGUCCAAUAUCAUCUUGUCAAAGGCGGACCCGAAUAAGAUGUUGACGGAGCUGCCGUUGUCGACUAGCAUUCGUUUGAGCCCAUUUCGGGCUAUGACAGCCCUCACCACCAGCGCAUCGCAGUGGGGGUAAUGAACUCCUUCGGCGUCUUCCUGGGUGAAGACAGUGGGUGGUACUUGGUUUCUUCGAGAGCUAUUAUCCACAAUGUAGCUCGUCAGAGGGGGGUGCUUAGCCUCCCUAGCAUAGUUUCUUUUGGCGUUCCGUGUUUCACCGCCAACAUAAGGGCCUCCAAAUAUGGUAUCUAUCUCGUGGAUAGGGGCCUCAUCUUGAGCUUGCCUAUUUUUUCGGUGUCUACGCCCUUCCCUGGGCCUCUCUGUGUCUUGCUCUCUUCGCCUUGGGGAGACAUCCCUUUGACGAGGAGCGGCCGCCUCACGCCCAUGUCGGUUGUCUUGCCUGGGCGGGAGCCUGUUCGCCUGGGGCGAGUUAUGUCUUUCCCUGGCGGGUUCUUGCCGGGAGCGGUGUGCAUAAUCUCUGCAAUCCGCGGUGUCGUGCCCGUAGGACCUAUGGUGCAAACAGUAUCCAGGGAGGUUCGGAUUGGACCUAUUUCUAGGUGCAAAACCUCGGCCUCGACCUCUUCCUCUACGGGGUCCCUGCUCGGCCUGUAUCUGAUGUGGGUCAGCGGUUGGGUUGACAUCCUCAUACGCCAAGGUUGGCACCGCGUUCAGAGUUGUGGUGGCCAGGGCUUGGCCGGAGUUCUCAUUUCCAGAUCGGUUCAUCUGGUAGUCCAUGAGGUGGGAGGUCGGUCCCCUACCUCGCUGUCUUUGAGGAGGUGGGAGGCCCCUGCUCGCCCUGUUCCUAUGCUCAAUCAAUUCUUCAUUGAUUAUCUCCCUUCUCAUCAUCUCUAGUAGGGCGUCAUAAGUGGUUGGGUCUUGAUUCUGCACAUCCCUCCAGAAUAGGGUGUUCAUGUUCAAUCCUCCUCUCAAUACAGAUAGUGCUUCUCUGUCGGUGACUUGUACACAGUAGGUCAUCUCGUCGGUGAAGCGGGAUAGGAAGCUUUUCAAGGACUUGCCAUGCGCCUGUCUCAUGUCUUGAAGAUGCUGAAUGGGGGCCUCUCCUUCCUUGCUCACUGCAAACCUUUUCAAGAAGGUAGUUUUGAACUCGGGCCAACUUCAGAUGCUCCCAGAUGGUAGCCUACUAUACCAGAUUUCAGCCGCUCCACUGAGGGUUAAAUGGAAUGCUCUGCACUUCACAGCUGGGGUGGCGGCCCUCGGGCUCAUGUGAGUUUUGUAAGCGUUGAGGUGCUUUUCUGGGUCACCUCUCCCAUCAUACUUUGGUAUUUUUGGCAUGACAUAGUGGCUCGGGACCUGGGCAUUUCUCAGUUCUCUUGGGAACGGCAGGUUCUCAUCAUCAUCGUCCAAGUCACAAGACCUUUGUUGCUCAUCAGAAUCGUAGUCUUCGGCCUCGUACCUCGGUUGUUGGUGAGAAGGGCCGGUUCCUAGCCUCUUCUUCCCUCCUUUGCGGCCUACUUCUAGGCGGGACAGCACGGGGGGCAUUUUCAUGCCUUCUCUCCGACUGCUGGGGCAUAGGAGGUGGAGGCUGUGGCCUCGUCCGAGGCUGCUGAGCCUGCUGUUGACUGGGUCUUAGUUCGGCAGGGUUGAUUCUGUCAAAAACACUUCCUGCUCUCCUCUGUCUUGGGUCUUGCUCAUAUGGAGGUGGAAAGUUAUCAGGGCUCAUUUGGAACUCGGAGGGUCGGUCAGAUGCAUAGUUGGAGGAAAUGACAACUCCCACUUCCCUCUCGAAUGGGCUUUCACCUCGGCCAUAGUCUGGCGAGGCAGCCCUAUGACUUUGGACCUCGUCCUCUUGCUGAUAGUGCCCAUGGGGGGCAUAUGGAGGAAUGGGGAAACCUCCUUGGCCUUGCAUCUGGGCCAUGAGCUCCCUCAUGGCCAAGUUUUGGUUGGCUAUAUCCCUCAUGUUGGCUGCCAUGGUAGCCAUUUCUCUUGAUAGUCGUACUGUCACACGCAUCCCACCUCUCCUUUGGUGGUGGUGGAGCCUCUGCCGAGCUGCUGGGACAGCAGGCUGGGGAGGCACAUUCGUAUUUUCUCUUACCCUCCUUGGGGGAGUAUCUUCGUUAGAACUCAUUUUUUCCUUUAUCAAACUUAGAUUUCUCCACGUGGUAGGGGUUCUUCCUGUUCUUUUUCAAGAACAAAUCCUUUUUCAAGGGGGUUUGCCCAAAGCUUUUUCCACAAGGUUGCUCGUGGUUAUGGUAUGGUUUUCCACAGACGGCGCCAAUCUAUUGACCCCAAAAAGUGCGCCAACAGAUGCCGAUCCCACCCGCGCUUGCGUGGGCGAAUGUCCAAUACGCUAAGACACGUGGACGGUCUAAACGAGCGGUUCAAAGGGGCGUGGGAGUAGCCCAACGACGCGGGACGGUGACGUUAGGAAUCCGGCGGGUUAUUCGUAAUCCGGUUGUACAAUAAUUACCAACCGGUGCUUGUAAAUGUAUGUGUAAAAGUGUAUAAAUUCGAUUUAUGUAUUGCAAGUAACUGAGAGAGUUGAGUAAAUGUAGUCUUUAGUAUUGAUUCUUACAUUAGCCUUUGACAUUAUACAAUGGGGGUAUUUGUAGUGAUACAUAUGGAAUGGGAGCCCUUGGAUGAAGUGGCACGUGGCCUCAUCUCCUUAGUUCAAACGUCUGUUCUUAGGCAUGGGACUUGACUUGCUAGUUUACGGCGCAUUUAUUGCUUGUACAGGGCCUCCAUGCUAGUGACAAGACUUGACCUUUAUGCUUAUGACAAACAUUCCAUCAAUCAUUCAAAUAAGAUCUGUGCAGGCGAUCUCUUGGGAGAAGUGACCAUGGAGGAUGUUUCCUUGUGGUUAAGAGGCUCGUGCAUCAACUUCGGGGUUUCGUCCAUUUGAGGACCUCAGCUACAUCCAAAAGCUUCCACGCCUU